UUUUUAGAGAGUUUGAUCCUUGCUCAGGAUGAACGCUGUCGGCGUGAUUUACUCAUGCAAGUCGAACGGACUUUUAAUGAAACCUAGUGAUUUAAAAGUUAGUGGCGGACGGGUGAGUAACGCGUGGGUAACCUGCCAUAUGCUGGGGGACAACAGUUAGAAAUGACUGCUAAUACCGCAUAAGCGCACAGAAUCGCAUGAUUCAGUGUGAAAAACUGCGGUGGCAUAUGAUGGACCCGCGUCUGAUUAGCUGGUUGGUGAGGUAACGGCUCACCAAGGCGACGAUCAGUAGCCGACCUGAGAGGGUGAUCGGCCACAUUGGAACU
rnacentral:rRNA from 1 species